rnacentral:rRNA from 1 species
GACGAACGCUGGCGGCGUGCUUAACACAUGCAAGUCGAACGGAAAGGCCCUGCUUUUGUGGGGUGCUCGAGUGGCGAACGGGUGAGUAACACGUGAGUAACCUGCCCUUGACUUUGGGAUAACUUCUGGAAACUGGGGCUAAUACCGGAUAGGAGCUCCUGCUGCAUGGUGGGGGUUGGAAAGUUUCGGCGGUUGGGGAUGGACUCGCGGCUUAUCAGCUUGUUGGUGGGGUAGUGGCUUACCAAGGCUUUGACGGGUAGCCGGCCUGAGAGGGUGACCGGCCACAUUGGGACUGAGAUACGGCCCAGACUCCUACGGGAGGCAGCAGUGGGGAAUAUUGCACAAUGGGCGGAAGCCUGAUGCAGCAACGCCGCGUGCGGGAUGACGGCCUUCGGGUUGUAAACCGCUUUCGCCUGUGGCGAAGCGUGAGUGACGGUAAUGGGUAAAGAAGCACCGGCUAACUACGUG